GUUGGAGAUGAUUGGUUCUGAGAAUUGGCUGUGAAAGCGGCAUUGCUGACCAGUGAGAGAGACCUAAUGAGGAGCAGGCCGGGGCAACCAAUGAAAUCGGAGAAGAGCGCUUGGGGGCGUGUCCGCCUGCUUUCAGCCUUUGGCAAGUUGGUGGGAGCUAAAAUCAGUCAUCUUCCUGCGAAGGCAUGAGGAGGAAAAGAGAGGAAGUAACUGAGCGAUAAUAUGCUGUAUGAGCCUCCUGCUCUGCUGCCCAUUACCUGCGUCACCUCCACAAGCUACUGAACCUCAAGGAACCCAUCUCCUCAUCAGGAAAAAAAAUAAGCUUUAUGUAG
rnacentral:lncRNA from 1 species